rnacentral:rRNA from 1 species
UACGUAGGCGGAAUAUUAAGUCAGUGGUGAAAUCCUGCAGCUUAACUGUAGAAUUGCCAUUGAUACUGGUCUUCUUGAAUUUAGUUGAGGUAGGCGGAAUGUGUAAUGUAGCGGUGAAAUGCUUAGAUAUUACACAGAUCACCGAUUGCGAAGGCAGCUCACUAAACUAACAUUGACGCUAAGGUACGAAAGCGUGGGGAGCGAACAGGAUUAGAUACCCUGGUAGUCC